GACGAACGCUGGCGGCGUGCCUAAUACAUGCAAGUAGAACGCUGAAGGAGGAGCUUGCUUCUCCGGAUGAGUUGCGAACGGGUGAGUAACGCGUAGGUAACCUGCCUGGUAGCGGGGGAUAACUAUUGGAAACGAUAGCUAAUACCGCAUAACAGUAGAUGUUGCAUGACAUUUGCUUAAAAGGUGCAAUUGCAUCACUACCAGAUGGACCUGCGUUGUAUUAGCUAGUUGGUGAGGUAACGGCUCACCAAGGCGACGAUACAUAGCCGACCUGAGAGGGUGAUCGGCCACACUGGGACUGAGACACGGCCCAGACUCCUACGGGAGGCAGCAGUAGGGAAUCUUCGGCAAUGGACGAAAGUCUGACCGAGCAACGCCGCGUGAGUGAAGAAGGUUUUCGGAUCGUAAAGCUCUGUUGUAAGAGAAGAACGGGUGUGAGAGUGGAAAGUUCACACUGUGACGGUAUCUUACCAGAAAGGGACGGCUAACUACGUG
rnacentral:rRNA from 1 species